rnacentral:rRNA from 1 species
AUUGAACGCUGGCGGCAUGCCUUACACAUGCAAGUCGAACGGUAACAGGUUAAACUGACGAGUGGCGAACGGGUGAGUAAUGUAUCGGAACGUGCCCAGUCGUGGGGGAUAACUGCUCGAAAGAGCAGCUAAUACCGCAUACGACCUGAGGGUGAAAGCGGGGGAUCGCAAGACCUCGCGCGAUUGGAGCGGCCGAUAUCAGAUUAGGUAGUUGGUGGGGUAAAGGCCUACCAAGCCUACGAUCUGUAGCUGGUCUGAGAGGACGACCAGCCACACUGGGACUGAGACACGGCCCAGACUCCUACGGGAGGCAGCAGUGGGGAAUUUUGGACAAUGGACGCAAGUCUGAUCCAGCCAUGCCGCGUGCGGGAAGAAGGCCUUCGGGUUGUAAACCGCUUUUGUCAGGGAAGAAAAGGUUCUGGUUAAUACCUGGGACUCAUGACGGUACCUGAAGAAUAAGCACCGGCUAACUACGUGCCAGCAGCCGCGGUAAAAC